rnacentral:rRNA from 1 species
UACAGAGGGUGCGAGCGUUAAUCGGAUUUACUGGGCGUAAAGGGCGUGUAGGUGGUUACGUAAGUGAGAGGUGAAAUCCCCGGGCUCAACCUGGGAACUGCCUCUUAAACUGCGUAGCUGGAGUACAUUAGAGGGUAGUGGAAUUUCCGGUGUAGCGGUGAAAUGCGUAGAUAUCGGAAGGAACACCAGUGGCGAAGGCGGCUACCUGGAAUGAUACUGACACUGAGGCGCGAGAGCGUGGGGAGCAAACAGG